rnacentral:rRNA from 1 species
CGAACGCUGGCGGCGUGCGUAACACAUGCAAGUCGAACGGAAAGGCCCUGCUUUUGUGGGGUGCUCGAGUGGCGAACGGGUGAGUAACACGUGAGUAACCUGCCCUUGACUUUGGGAUAACUUCAGGAAACUGGGGCUAAUACCGGAUAGGAGCUCCUGCUGCAUGGUGGGGGGUGGAAAGUUUCGGCGGUUGGGGAUGGACUCGCGGCUUAUCAGCUUGUUGGUGGGGUAGUGGCUUACCAAGGCUUUGACGGGUAGCCGGCCUGAGAGGGGGACCGGCCACGUUGGGCCUGGGCUCCGGCCCAGACCCCUACGGGGGGCGGCGGGGGGGAGCUUACCCCAGGGGGCGGGCGCCGGAGCCGACACCCCCGCGUGGGGAAGGCCCCCCUGUGGCUUGAAAACCGCUUUCCCCUGGGACGAGGCGGGAGUGACGGUAUGGGAAAAAUAAGCCCCGGCUAACUACGUG